rnacentral:rRNA from 1 species
UCUUCGGAGACCGAGUAAAGUGGCGAACGGGUGAGUAACGCAUAGACAACUUGCCCCUGAGAUGGGAACAACGCUCCGAAAGGAGCGCUAAUACCCAAUAGCAUCCGGACCCCACGGGAUCUGGAUGAAAGGAGGCCUCUGACUCAAGCUUCCGCUCAGGGAGAGGUUUAUGUCCUAUUAGCUUGUUGGUGAGGUAACGGCUCACCAAGGCGACGAUGGGUAGCCGACCUGAGAGGGUGACCGGCCACAUUGGGACUGAGACACUGCCCAAACUCCUACGGGAGGCUGCAGUCGAGAAUCUUCCGCAAUGCGCGCAAGCGUGACGGAGCGACGCCGCGUGGGUGAUGAAGGCCUUCGGGUUGUAAAACCCUGUCAGUUACUAGGAACCGCAGGUGGUGAAUAACCAUCCUGCCUGACUAUGUAACAGAGGAAGCACCGGCUAAAUACGUGCCAGCAGCCGCGGUAAUACGUAUGGUGCGAACGUUGUUCGGAAUCACUGGGCCUAAAGCGCGCGUAGGCGGCUAGGUAAGUCAGGUGUGAAAUCCCUCGGCUCAACCGAGGAACCGGGCCUGAUACUGCCCGGCUAGAGUGCAGGAGGGGAGAGUGGAAUUCCUGGUGGAGCGGUGAAAUGCGUAGAUAUCAGGAGGAACGCCGGUGGCGAAAGCGGCUCUCUGGUCUGUUACUGACGCUGAGGCGCGAAAGCUAGGGGAGCAAACGGGAUUAGAUACCCCGGUAGUCCUAGCCCUAAAC